GCACAAGCGGUGGAGCAUGUGGUUCAAUUCGACGCAACGCGAAGAACCUUACCAACCUUUGACAUGCCCAGUAUGGUCGCCAGAGAUGGCUUCCUUCCCGCAAGGGGCUGGAGCACAGGUGCUGCAUGGCUGUCGUCAGCUCGUGUCGUGAGAUGUUGGGUUAAGUCCCGCAACGAGCGCAACCCUCGCCCUUAGUUGCCAUCAUUAAGUUGGGCACUCUAAGGGGACUGCCGGUGAUAAGCCGCGAGGAAGGUGGGGAUGACGUCAAGUCCUCAUGGCCCUUACAGGUUGGGCUACACACGUGCUACAAUGGCGGUGACAGUGGGACGCAAUGGAGCAAUCCUGCGCAAAUCUCAAAAAGCCGUCUCAGUUCGGAUUGUGCUCUGCAACUCGAGCACAUGAAGUUGGAAUCGCUAGUAAUCGCAGAUCAGCACGCUGCGGUGAAUACGUUCCCGGGC
rnacentral:rRNA from 1 species